GCGGUCCAGGUGUAUCGAGUCAGCUGCGUGCUACAGACGGGUUGAGUGAAAUAUUUUGGCUGCACCUUCAUUUCUGGUCUUCCUGGACACCUGGCCUGCAGGAGUACAGAUAUGCCAGAAGCACAGAGCUCCUGUUCCCUUAAUCCUGGCCUGCCUGUCCCUCUGGCUCCUCACCUCUCCAGUUUAAUUUGGCUGUUGACCCUGGGCCGGCAGGUCUCAGGCCAUCCCUUUCGGUAGGUGUUCAGGGCCUUUCUGUGACUGUUCUGAGCAUUCUCGAGUGAAAACUGUCAGGGUCCCUUCCCUGACUUGCCUGAUUGCCACCUGUAAACUAUCGAUAAAAGGAAAUCAGCGAGUGUAUUUUCUGGAUUGAUCAAGGCCAAACAGGCUGAAGCAGUCAAUGCUCCUUGGUUAAAUCACCCUGCAAUCAAAUAAGGAGCUGAUGAACCAAGGGACCCUGGAAACAACCUGUGUCCA